rnacentral:rRNA from 1 species
UACAGAGGUCUCAAGCGUUGUCCGGAAUCAUUGGGCGUAAAGCGCGUGUAGGCGGUCCGGUAAGUCCGCUGUGAAAGUCGGGGGCUCAACCCUCGAAUGCCGGUGGAUACUGUCGGGCUAGAGUGCGGAAGAGGCGAGUGGAAUUCCUGGUGUAGUGGUGAAAUGCGCAGAUAUCAGGAGGAACACCAAUUGCGAAGGCAGCUCGCUGGGACGUUACUGACGCUGAGACGCGAAAGCGUGGGGAGCAAACAGG